CAAGACGUAGCUAUAACUCCAAAGCACUCAGCUUACACCUGAGAGAUAUCUGUCAACUACCAGAUCGCCUUGA
rnacentral:tRNA from 1 species